rnacentral:rRNA from 1 species
AGCAGCCGCGGUAAUUCCAGCUCCAAUAGCGUAUAUUAAAGUUGUUGCAGUUAAAAGCUCGUAGUUGAAUUUCGGGAUCAAUAUGUUGGUCGUGCCUUGGUACGUACUGGCGUCAUUGAUUUCUACCUUCUGAAGAACCUCGAUGUCAUUAAUUUGGUGUCUUGGGGAAUCAGGACUGUUACUUUGAAAAAAGUUAGAGUGUUUAAAGCAAGCUCACGCUUGAAUACAUUAGCAUGGAAUAAUGAAAUAGGACGUUUGAUUCUAUUUUGUUGGUUUCUAGGAUCGACGUAAUGAUUAAUAGGGAUAGUUGGGGGCAUUAGUAUUCAAUUGUCAGAGGUGAAAUUCUUGGACUUAUUGAAGACUAACUACCGCGAAAGCAUUUGCCAAGGAUGUUUUGCAUUAAUCAAGAACGAAAGUUAGGGGAUCGAAGACGAUCAGAUACCGUCGUAGUCUUAACCAUAAACCUAUGCCGACUAGGGGAUCGGAUGAUGUUAAUUUUUUUCAAUGACUCAUUCGGCGC